ACACGUGGGCAACCUGCCUGUAAGACUGGGAUAACUUCGGGAAACCGGAGCUAAUACCGGAUAAUUCUUUCCACCACAUGGGGAAAAGCUGAAAGACGGCAUCUCGCUGUCACUUACAGAUGGGCCCGCGGCGCAUUAGCUAGUUGGUGAGGUAACGGCUCACCAAGGCAACGAUGCGUAGCCGACCUGAGAGGGUGAUCGGCCACACUGGGACUGAGACACGAUCCAAAUCCAUACGGGAGGCAGCAGUAGGUAAUCUUCCGCAAUGGACGAAAGUCUGACGGAGCAACGCCGCGUGAGUGAUGAAGGUUUUCGGAUCGUAAAGCUCUGUUGUUAGGGAAGAACAAGUACAAGAGUAACUGCUUGUACCUUGACGGUACCUAACCAGAAAGCCACGGCUAACUACGUGCCAGCAGCCGCGGUAAUACGUAGGUGGCAAGCGUUGUCCGGAAUUAUUGGGCGUAAAGCGCGCGCAGGCGGUCCUUUAAGUCUGAUGUGAAAGCCCACGGCUCAACCGUGGAGGGUCAUUGGAAACUGGGGGACUUGAGUGCAGAAGAGAAGAGUGAAAUUCCACGUGUAGCGGUGAAAUGCGUAGAGAUGUGGAGGAACACCAGUGGCGAAGGCGACUCUUUUGUCUGUAACUGACGCUGAGGCGCGAAAGCGUGGGGAGCCAAACAGGAUUAGAUACCCUGGUAGUUCACGCCGUAAACGAUGAGUGCUAAGUGUUAGAGGGUUUCCGCCCUUUAGUGCUGCAGCAAACGCCUUAAACCCUUCGCCUGGGGAGUACGGCCGCAAGGCUGAAACUCAAAAGAAUUGACGGGGGGCCGCACAAGCCGUGGAGCAUGUGGUUUAAUUUGGAGCAACGCGAAGAACCCUUCCAGGUCUUGACCUUCUUUGACACUUCUAGAGAUAGGACGUUUCCCUUCGGGGGACAGAGUGACAGGUGGUGCAUGGUUGUCGUCAGCUCGUGUCGUGAGAUGUUGGGUUAAAUCCCGCAACGAGCGCAACCCUUGAUUUUAGUUGCCAGCCUUAAGUUGGGCCCUUUAAGGUGACUGCCGGUGACAAACCGGAGGAAGGUGGGGAUGACGUCAAAUCAUCAUGCCCCUUAUGACCUGGGCCACCCCCCUGCUUCAAUGGAUGGUACAAAGGGCAGCAAAACCGCGAGGUCGAGCAAAUUCCAUAAAACCCUUCUCAGUUCGGAUUGUAGGCUGCAACUUGCCUACCUGAAGCCGGAAUCGCUUGUAAUCGCGGAUCAGCCUGCCGCGGUGAAUACGUUUCCGGGCCUUGUUCACCCCGCCCGUCACACCCCCAGAGG
rnacentral:rRNA from 1 species